rnacentral:rRNA from 1 species
UACGUAGGAUGCAAGCGUUGUCCGGAAUUAUUGGGCGUAAAGAGCUCGUAGGCGGUUUGUCGCGUCUGCUGUGAAAUCCCAGGGCUUAACCCUGGGCCUGCAGUGGGUACGGGCAAACUAGAGUGCGGUAGGGGAGAGUCGGAAUUCCUGGUGUAGCGGUGAAAUGCGCAGAUAUCAGGAGGAACACCGAUGGCGAAGGCAGGUCUCUGGGCCGUAACUGACGCUGAGGAGCGAAAGCAUGGGGAGCGAACAGG